AUUGAACGCUGGCGGCAUGCUUUACACAUGCAAGUCGAACGGUAACACGCCGUCGGUUGCUGACGGUUGGCGGACGGGUGGGUAAGGCAUCGGAACGUGCCCAGAGGUGGGGGUUAACGCAGCGAAAGCUGUCCUAAUACCGCAUGUGAUCUGAGGUUGAAAUCGGGGGACCGGGCAGCAAUGUUUCGCCUCGCGCCUUUGGACUGGCCGAUGUCCGAUUAGUUAGUUGGUGGGGUAAAGGCCUACCAAGCCGACGAUCUGUAGCUGGUCUGAGAGGACGGCUAGCCACACUGGGAGUGAGACACGGCCCAGAGUGCUACGGGAGGCAGCAGUGGGGAAUCUGGGAGCAUGGGCGGAAGCCUGAUCACGCAAUGCCGCGUGCGGGAAGAAGGCCUUCGGGUUGUAAACCGCUUUUGUACGGAAGGAAAAGGCUUUGGCUAAUACCUGGGGGUGAUGACGGUACCGGAAGAAUAAGCAACGGCUAACUACGUG
rnacentral:rRNA from 1 species